CAGUCGCCGCGGUAAUACAUAGGGUGCAAGCGUUAAUCGGAAUUACUGGGCGUAAAGCGUGCGCAGGCGGUUGUGUAAGACAGGUGUGAAAUCCCCGGGCUUAACCUGGGAACUGCGCUUGUGACUGCACAGCUAGAGUAUGGCAGAGGGGGGUAGAAUUCCACGUGUAGCAGUGAAAUGCGUAGAGAUGUGGAGGAAUACCGAUGGCGAAGGCAGCCCCCUGGGCCAAUACUGACGCUCAUGCACGAAAGCGUGGGGAGCAAACAGGAUUAGAUACCCCUGUAGUCCCUGUCUCUUAUAC
rnacentral:rRNA from 1 species